rnacentral:lncRNA from 1 species
GACCUAGGGGGAGUAUGUGGUGUAGUAACUGGAACAGCUUGGGCCUAAGUGUGAAGGCCCAAGGUGAAAUGUUACAGAACAAAACUUGACUCUUCCUCACCGCUAAUGACGCAGAGGGAGAAAGAAAAAGCGUCGCUCCUAACCGCAUCAGCCUCGUUACCGGUGGAACACCUCACACAUUGUCUCCUAACUAAGCUACUCUCAACCUAAACCGAAAGUCUCUACCUAAACAGAUCGGAGUCUAACACGACGCGACGAUGGAAUAAAACCGAACGGCAAAUGCAAAUGGAAAUGAGGUUUGAUUCCGAUUCACAACAUCAUGAAUGAAUCAAACAACACAUAGAGAAGAAGAGCCUACCGCAACGGCGAAGGCGGCAUCGGGUUCAAACGGCGUCGAUUUCGAAUCCAAAUGCUUCACUUCUCAUUCAAUCUUCUCCUUUUCGAUUCACUUCGGCGAUCGAUUUUGGUUACGAGUCCGCUUAUGUUGAUCCAUUAGGACGUUUCUUCGUGAUUUAUUUGGUUCGUAAUCGAUUGGCGUGGUGAGAGUGGUGGCGCUGCGCGGAGGAAAGGAGGUUGAUGGUGGUUCGAUGACGGUUGGCUUUUGUGGCGCGGGAAGAAGAUUCGAAAGUGUGGGUGAAGGUCGUUGCGAUGCCGUUUCACGAAAAAUCUCCAUCCACCUCUUCACUGCUCAAUCACAUAUUUAUAUAGAAUUGGAUGAUCCUGCUUGAAUUGAAGCUUGGCCGCGUUUUUGGAUUUUCGUGUUGCCGUUUUAAUAUCAAGAUGUGUUCUUCUGUUUUUCCAAUGCCGUUUAUGCGCCUUGUUUCCGUUUUGAAUUUCACUUGUUGCAGGUGUUUGCGUUUGGUUUGGCUUGCCUGUGGUUUGGCUCACGUGUUUCUCGUUUUGGUGUGUGUGUGUGUUAUGAGCUGCGUGCGUAUGCACUGCAGUAUUUCAGCUUAUGUUGUACGUUCAUAUGUGUUUUGGCUGGCUUUGUGUAUUGGCUUUCAAGUCGUGUUUUGAUGCAGCUUGGACGCCGGCUUAAACGUUGUUUUCAACUUCAAAUAAAGGCACCUCCCUUCCAAAGUCAGACUCCCUUGCUUUCCCUGCAGAAAUCAUUGUCUCUUUCAAUGCUUUAUCAAGUGCUAUUAGUUCAGGCUGUUCGACAGAAAAUGCAUUAUAAACCAAAUGGUGUUUAAUUUCAAGAAGCUCCUCAGUCUCCAAACAAGAAGGUCCAUGAGUUGGAAAGCUUGUUUCGAGAAUCUCUUCCAAUUUAUGCGCUUCAACUGUGUAUCUAUAGCCUCCAUCGCCAUUAAAACCAAUCAAAACCACAUUCACCUCCAAAGGAACCUAAAACGGAACCUCAACUCGAGAAUGGAGCAUGCGGAGCAUGUCGGACCGGACUGUAUCUCCGACAUCGUGGAAGGCACCGUGGUGCCACUGAGGGUGACCAAGUCCUCACUGUUUCCCACUCUAUUAUUUUCUUCUCCUUUUUUUAUUCAAACUGAUGAAUUAAUGGGUUUAUGGUAAUUGGCAAUUGGACAUGGGUUGAGUUAAUUUUAAUGGAC